UCCGGUUGAUCCUGCCGGACCUGACUGCUAUCGGAUUGAUACUAAGCCAUGCGAGUCAUUGUAGCAAUACAAGGCAUACGGCUCAGUAACGCGUAGUCAACCUAACCUAUGGACGGGAAUAACCUCGGGAAACUGAGAAUAAUGCCCGAUAGAACACUAUACCUGGAAUGGUUUAUGUUCCAAAUGAUUUAUCGCCGUAGGAUGGGACUGCGGCCUAUCAGUUUGUUGGUGAGGUAAUGGCCCACCAAGACUAUUACAGGUACGGGCUCUGAGAGGAGUAGCCCGGAGAUGGGUACUGAGACACGGACCCAGGCCCUAUGGGGCGCAGCAGGCGAGAAAACUUUGCAAUGUGCGAAAGCACGACAAGGUUAAUCCGAGUGAUUUGUGCUAAACGAAUCUUUUGUUAGUCCUAGAACCACUAACGAAUAAGGGGUGGGCAAGUUCUGGUGUCAGCCGCCGCGGUAAAACCAGCACCUCAAGUGGUCAGGAUGAUUAUUGGGCCUAAAGCAUCCGUAGCCGGCUCUGUAAGUUUUCGGUUAAAUCUGUACGCUUAACGUACAGGCUGCCGGGAAUACUGCAGAGCUAGGGAGUGGGAGAAGUAGACGGUACUCGGUAGGAAGUGGUAAAAUGCUUUGAUCUAUCGAUGACCACCUGUGGCGAAGGCGGUCUACUAGAACACGUCCGACGGUGAGGGAUGAAAGCUGGGGGAGCAAACCGGAUUAGAUACCCGGGUAGUCCCAGCUGUAAACUAUGCAAACUCAGUGAUGCAUUGGCUUGUGGCCAAUGCAGUGCUGCAGGGAAGCCGUUAAGUUUGCCGCCUGGGAAGUACGUACGCAAGUAUGAAACUUAAAGGAAUUGGCGGGGGAGCACCACAAGGGGUGAAGCCUGCGGUUCAAUUGGAUUCAACGCCGGA
rnacentral:rRNA from 1 species